rnacentral:rRNA from 1 species
AGAGUUUGAUCCUGGCUCAGAUUGAACGCUGGCGGCAUGCUUUACACAUGCAAGUCGAACGGCAGCACGGGGGCAACCCUGGUGGCGAGUGGCGAACGGGUGAGUAAUGUAUCGGAACAUGUCCGGAAGUGGGGGAUAACGUAGCGAAAGUUACGCUAAUACCGCAUAUGCCCUGAGGGGGAGAGGAGGGGAUCGCAAGACCUUUCGCUUUCGGAGUGGCCGAUAUCAGAUUAGCUAGUUGGUGAGGUAAAGGCUCACCAAGGCGACGAUCUGUAGCUGGUCUGAGAGGACGACCAGCCACACUGGGACUGAGACACGGCCCAGACUCCUACGGGAGGCAGCAGUGGGGAAUUUUGGACAAUGGGGGCAACCCUGAUCCAGCCAUGCCGCGUGAGUGAAGAAGGCCUUCGGG